AGUGAACGCUGGCGGUAUGCCUAACACAUGCAAGUCGAACGGCAGCACAGUAAGAGCUUGCUCUUACGGGUGGCGAGUGGCGGACGGGUGAGGAAUACAUCGGGAUCUACUUUUUCGUGGGGGAUAACGUAGGGAAACUUACGCUACUACCGCAUACGACCUACGGGUGAAAGCAGGGGAUCUUCGGACCUUGCGCGAUUGAAUGAGCCGAUGUCGGAUUAGCUAGUUGGCGGGGUAAAGGCCCACCAAGGCGACGAUCCGUAGCUGGUCUGAGAGGGUGAUCAGCCACACUGGAACUGAGACACGGUCCAGACUCCUACGGGAGGCAGCAGUGGGGAAUAUUGGACAAUGGGCGCAAGCCUGAUCCAGCCAUACCGCGUGGGUGAAGAAGGCCUUCGGGUUGUAAAGCCCUUUUGUUGGGAAAGAAAAGCAGCAGGUUAAUACCCCGCUGUUCUGACGGUACCCAAAGAAUAAGCACCGGCUAACUUCGUG
rnacentral:rRNA from 1 species